rnacentral:lncRNA from 1 species
GGAACAUCUUGCAGAAUACUGAACAGUCACUUGGAAGAGAUACUUAAAGAUGAAUACUAUAAAAAGAAGACACUAUGUAUGGAUUGGCACGGGUGGGGCGAAAACAAGCAUUUGGAGGUGGAUGCUGAGGAUACCAGGAAAACUGGACCUUCAGUCCACACAGAACCUUAACGGAGGUUUAUCACCUGUAUAAUCAAGAUGAACUAUCUAUGUUUUACUGAUGAUACGCAUGUUGAAAGAUAAUGAAGACCUUACUUUUACAACAGAGGUUUCAAUGAGAAAGUAUAUUAUCCCACAGGUGAGAGAAAUGUAAAACAAAAACACAUAGACAGUGAU